CAUCCCUUGAUCAGGUAGACUGCACAGAAAGCUGCAGCCUGGAGCGUACCUUCUGAAAACCUGAGAGGACAGGAGAUUCCUCUUGAACACCCAAAGGGGAAUCCUGUUGGAGCCAAAUGGAAAUCCUCAAGGACACCAAGAAAAGAAGAAAAUGAAACAAAGAAUAACUACAUAAUUUUUUUGACUGGUAUACGAUCACCUUUUCUGAAGACCUCCUAGAUUAGCAGGUGAGUGUUUACAGACAUGAAGUGUACCAAGACCAAAGCAGAAGGAGGAAGAUGAUGCUUCACAAAUCAUCCUCAUGUACAGAAAUGCUUUGCUCUUCUAAAGUUUCUCCCUUCUGAGCAUCUUAGACCAUUUUAUAAACAAGUAUUAAUAUAACUUUAACUUACCUUCUGUGUUGGUUAUGCACUCACAUUAGUCUGGAUAAGUGCAUAGCCAGAAGAAAGAAAUGUUCUACAGCACUAAGUAUAUGCAUUACAGAUGGAAACACUCUGCUGAGAGGCUGCAAGGAUGCUAAGAAAAUUAUCAGGAUGCAAAAUGAACAUAAAAGGAUUCUCCUAGAAAAGCGUCAUGGAAGGUUUUGUUCUAGGAAAUAAUUAUUUUCUGUCUUCCAACUAUCAAUCUGAAUUCUCUUUGUUUUGGAAACAUCAGUUUCAAGUACCCUGGAAGAAAUUCUUGGCAAUAACUGUUAUUAAGAACAUAUUAGCUAACGUCAGUAGUCCUGAUUUUACAAAUGAAAAAGUAAAAGGCAAAAUAAAAAUCAAACUCAGUUUCCAUUUGAAAGAGAUAUCUCCCAACCACUGAAGUAAAAUCACUUGGGAUUGCAAUGAUAAGAAGUUUUUAUCUAGGCAUAGUAAACACAAUUUUCUUGUUUCACUUAAGAACACCAUGUGCUAAAACAACAGAAGUUUUUAUGUUGAUGAUGAUAAAUCUCCUGUUUUCAGUUUCAUAGCAAAACGCAGAAACAUUCUGUUUCAUUAUUUCAACCACAGGGGCACAAGGGCUAACAGAGAUUUUUCUCACAAACAGCUCUUGCAAGAAAAUUUUAAUCUCUGCUGAUAAAUCAGAGUGUUUUGAUGAUUAGCACAUCGCUUUCAGACUGACCGCCUUCUACUUGGUUUUCUGGCUUGCUGCUGCUCAGGACUUUUUGCUUGUGAGAUAACUAGAUAUAUGUCUGGCUAGUGAAAAGGGUCUAUAUGAUAUAUGUCUGGCUAGUGAAAAGGGUCUAUAUGAUAUAUGUCUGAUUAUUUGACUGUCAGUAAAAUAACAUUAUGUUGAAAUUAUCAUAUUGAGGAUCAUAUCUUUUACCCUACAUGCUCU